AAGCAUGGAGGGAGCUCAUGGAUAAGUGGAUAGGAGCCGGGGCUCCGAAAUCACACCUUUUCAACUGGCCAGGCUUCCGUUACUCAGCCAGUGGGGGUGAUGCCAGUGCCCGUCUCCUGCGAGGCCCCUGAGUGUGAUGGGUGAAGGAAUGCAAGUACCACACUUAGCUCAGCUUAGCCUAGGCUUUGGCACGUGAAGUGCUCGCUUCUAGAGGCUGCCUGCCGUCUGUGGCUCCUGGACUUUUUUUACAUCUCCAGAACCAGCAACGGCAGGUCCAGCCCUCCUCCCAUCACAGCUCAUCUCUCCAACCUACUCGUCUGCCUCACUCUUCCAAUUUUGUGGACCCUGUGAUCACAGUGGCCCACCUGGACCAUCCAGGAAAAUCUCCCGACUUGAAGAUCUUUUCGAAGGGGCCUGAAAGGUAGCUCCUUGCACAGCAGGACUGGUUUAUUCGCCUGGAGUAUCCCUCUGAUCCAGCAAGCGUGCAUCCAACAACCCCAGGCUUUGGUCCGGCCUCCUCACACAGGGCUCCUGAGCCUGUGGGCCUCUCCUGCCCCAUGAGCCUUGCUACAAGGAGCUAUGCAUGUGGCUGCCUCACUCUAGGGCACUGGAAAGGAAUGGAGAAAAGAGGGGGUUGCCAAGGAGGGUGCAAGGAAAAUUGUCCACUGAAUUUUGCCACCUACAGAAAAGGCAAGGACUGUACUAUGAUUCUCAUAGUCAGAAGAGUUAUGAUGCACUGCUGAAGGAUAGACGGGCAUUGAGUUCAGAAAACAAAAAGUUGUAUAUGACUGACUGGAUCAAGAACAGAGACCGUCAUGAGUGGGCAGUGGUGCUUUCCACAGAAGGAAGAUGGUCUAAGCAAAGAGGAGACAAACACAAAGCAAAUAUGCUCCAGCCUCAGAUGGGGAUGUCGGCAAGUGAGGAUAGAAACGAUUCCCAGCAUCGACUGAGGCCCCGUGCUGACGCGUGCCCUGGCUUGUUUAAUCCCCAGGGUCUGUGCUGCCUCCCCAUGCAGCAAUCAUUCCACUGGACUGGAGGUUGGCAGCAGAGGGAAGCUUCCUGAAUUUGCUUUGUGGAAUACGACAUAGAAAGAAGACUGGGUUGGGCGUGCUAGCUCACGCCUGUAAUCCCAGCACUUUGGGAGGCUGAGGCAAGCAGAUCACUUGAGGUCAGGAGUUCGAGACCAGCCUGGACAACAUGGUGAAACCCCAUCUCUACUAAAAAUACAAAAUUUAGCCAGGCGUGGUGGCGCGUGUCUGUAAUCCCAGCUGCUCAGGAGGCUGAGGCAGGAGAAUCCCUUGAACCCAGGAGGUGGAGGUUGUAGUGAGCUGAGAUCUUGACAUUGCACUCCAGCCUGAGGGGCAGAACAAUACUUUGUCUCAAAAAAAAAAAAAAGAAAAAAGAAAGUAGACUGAAGACAGACUGGGUGAAUAGACAUUACUUCGUUUUAUUUUUGAUUAACAAGUUUACACUGGAAUUAACAAUAGUUCUCAUUUUUUUGGAUAACCUUAAUUUGUCCUCAUUUGAAGCAUUAAAAUUUAUGAACAGUGUUAAUGGAAGGGCUUUUGGCCUAACUAUGCAGUCGCCGUUUCUUUAACUUCUCACCCCACCUCCACGAGGGAAAAUUCAUUUUGCAAAGCUUUUAGCGGCGCGUAUAUUUCAUGUGAAUCUGCCUUUCCCAUUUGGCAUGCCUAGUUUUACAUUACUUCUGGCCACUGUUUCAUUAAUGGCAUUAGGAUUUUUAUUUUCCUGAUCCAAGGGCAGAAGAAUUGGACCCAUUCUAUCUGGUAAUUCAUCAAACAGUUUCUCUACCACAAAGAACAUUUUUUCUUCCCUCUCUCUGGGUUUCUGGCAGCUCAUCUCACCCUGCCAGGGGAGAUUGAACAGUUUACUCUUUUGAAGAGUUCACAUCAGAAGAUCUCACCACAUGCCUCUAAGAUUUCACCUCAUGAGAAAUUCCCCGUCAAAUCUGUGGUUUUGCCUCUUCCCAGGACCUUUUGAAUUCCGUAAUGGCGUCAUGUGCUGGCUGUGCAGUUUGCCCCUUUUCAAACAUUUACAGAUGCUUUUAGGAGUCUC
rnacentral:lncRNA from 13 species